UCUCAUAUGGUCGAGUGGUCAAGAUUCCUGGUUUUCACUCAGAUGGCCUGGGUUCAAUUCCCGGUAUGGGAA